rnacentral:rRNA from 1 species
CUAAAUUGCUUGUCAUGGAAUUGUCGCGGAGGGGGAACGAUUACUAUUCGUGAUCUGGAAGGCCUGAUAAAGGCUAAUGAUUCCCGGAUUGUUUUCCUCUAUGAGACGCGGCAAAGAGAAGAAAGGAUGCGACGGCACUGUCGAAGGUUAGGCCUACGUGGCUUUACCGGAGUAAGUAGCAAUGGAAAUAGUGGAGGACUUGCACUAUACUGGGAUGACAGUUUGUUC